UAAGUACACCUUUUCCUCUCAUUUAUUUGUCUCACAAUUCUCUACGGUUUCUAAUAGUUUCAGUUCCAAACGCAGAUUUUCAAAGAUCUACCGCCAUGGGGAGGAGACCUGCAAAGUGUUAUCGUCAGAUAAAAAAUAAGCCUUACCCAAAGUCACGGUAUUGCCGUGGUGUUCCUGAUCCAAAGAUCAGGAUUUAUGAUGUGGGGAUGAAAAGGAAAGGUGUGGAUGAGUUCCCUUUCUGUGUGCACCUGGUAUCUUGGGAGAAAGAAAACGUCUCUAGUGAAGCUCUGGAGGCUGCUCGAAUUGCUUGCAACAAAUAUAUGGCCAAGUUUGCUGGAAAGGAUGCUUUCCACUUGCGAGUCCGUGUUCACCCAUUCCAUGUCUUGCGUAUCAACAAGAUGCUUUCCUGUGCUGGAGCUGAUAGGCUUCAAACUGGUAUGCGAGGUGCUUUUGGCAAGCCACAGGGCACUUGUGCUAGAGUAGCCAUUGGUCAGGUUCUCCUUUCUGUUCGUUGCAAGGACAGCAACAGCCAUCAUGCACAGGAAGCCCUUCGCCGUGCAAAGUUCAAGUUCCCUGGUCGCCAAAAGAUUAUUGUCAGCAGGAAGUGGUAUGGGUUUUACAAAGUUCAGCCGUACUGAUUAUUUGAAAUACAAGUCAGAGAAUCGGAUUGUUCCUGAUGGUGUUAAUGCUAAGCUUCUUGGAUGCCAUGGACCUCUGGCGAAUAGAGAACCAGGAAGAGCAUUCCCGUCUGCUACUGCUACUGCUUAAUAUCUUAAGUUGCUCAAAAUCUGAAAGUACUUGACCGAGUCUUAAUAGUGUUUUGAGGCUUUAUUUAUCAUUAAUGCUAGUGCAUGAUGAAAGAACUUUUGUUUUGUUGAAUAGAAUAAAUAGGCUUAUCCUUCAAACUUUAACUCAUGUCUUUGCUCAAAAAAUCUGAUAAUUGUUCUAUUACUUUCAUUAUACCGCGUUUCAAGUAACUCUACUUUUUUUUAAAGGUUAGCAAUCACUUGGCAAUGUUGUGUAUUUUGCAACUUUUAUAUGCAUGACGAGUAUUAAUUGUUUACGUUCUUGUAUAAUUCUCAGUUAUGUAUAUUUUGCUACUCUGUGGUCUAUACUCGGCUGUUGGGCAAUUAUUAUUUUGAUUAAAAUUAUGAUUCAAAAUUUAUAGUUUUUAA